rnacentral:lncRNA from 1 species
AUGAGAAGUGGUGAAGCAGAUGAAGAGGAAUGGGGCAUAACGUGUGUCCCAAGAAGAGGCAACACCGUGUUUGGAAGCUCAGAAGUCAAGGAGAAUGCGGUGCAUUCAAGAAACCAGCUGGUUCUCACACAACACAAUGCUGAAGUGCAAGCUUUGACUUUAAGUACAGUUUCCUGUACCCAUCAGUGAUGGGGAAGUGAUACAGCUGACAUUAUUACACGUGAGUAACCCAAAGUUAUCUUGUCUUAAUCUCCCGGGUCAUACUCUCUAACAUCGUUCAUAUUUUAAAUGAUUUGCAGGUUGUUGUUCUUUUAGAGAUCUAUUUUAUUUUCUUGCUCAGUUCCUGUUAAUCUGCUUAUCUCCAAUUUGCCGAAGACUUUGCUCUUUUUUCUUUUUCUUUCUUUCUUUCUUUUUUUUUUGCUCUUCGAGUCUGAGGACUUGACAAAUGCAAUGUUGGGGCAAUAGAGGAGAGACAGGCCUUAGGAUGUACUGUAUAAAUCACCAAAAUGUGAUGUACUCUACCUUCUCAGCAUAAACUGGAAAUUGAAAAAAAAAAAAUGCUGCAAAUAGAAUUGCUUCCUUUGGGCUUAAACCAGAUUGGCAGCAACAUAGAUUCUGCUGUGAGUUGAAGUCACUUUCUACUUUGGCACGACUUGGUCCAUGGGGAUGGUGGAGUCAUGAUUUAGCAGCAAGACUCUGGGAGCAGGCCAGCAUCCACAUCUGUUCUGAACUGUAAGUGGACUGCAAAAAUGCUUGAAAAAAAGCCAGAGAUGGGAGGUGAAAGAGAACACAAAACCUUUAACCUCAAAAAGGCCAGGAAAACGACUUGAUCAAUUCCAAGGAGAUUCGAUUUCGAGAGAAGCUUUUAUGGAAAUAAAAUCUAUACGAUUCUUCUCUGUCUACA